GAUGAAUGCUGGCGGCGUGCUUAACACAUGCAAGUCGAGCGGUAACAGGAGUAGUUUACUACUUGCUGACGAGCGGCGGACGGCUGAGUAACGCGUGGGAACAUGCCCCAAAGUGAGGAAUAACUGCCCGAAAGGGUGGCUAAUGCCGCAUAUGAUCUUCGGAUUAAAGGAUUUAUCCGCUUUGGGAGUGGCCUGCGUAUGAUUAGGUAGUUGGUGAGGUAAUGGCUCACCAAGCCGACGAUCAUUAGCUGGUCUGAGAGGAUGACCAGCCAGACUGGAACUGAGACACGGUCCAGACUCCUACGGGAGGCAGCAGUGAGGAAUCUUCCACAAUGGGCGAAAGCCUGAUGGAGCAACGCCGCGUGCAGGAUGAAGGCCUUCGGGUUGUAAACUGCUUUUAUAAGUGAAGAAUAUGACGGUAACUUAUGAAUAAGCACCGGCUAACUACGUGCCAGCAGCCGCCGUAA
rnacentral:rRNA from 1 species